rnacentral:lncRNA from 1 species
CCGGGAGGGAUGCUGCGGGAACUCGCACCAGGCUCUCAGGGAGAAAGGAGGAGUCAGGAACGAAGGAAGGCUCGAAGGAGGAACCCGGCCCUUCGCCCAGGCGCCGGUCUCCCCGGCAGGGACAACCGCCAAAGAGGGGAGGAGAGGAUUGUUGGCCUGGCUGCCCUCUCAGCCCACCACGUGACUGUGUUGCACCUGAGCCUGCAGCUGCAGCUGUGUAGAGUUGAAAGAAUAUUCCAGUGGGGAGGAGACUCCAGAAUGCUGCUGAUGAGAGUGGAUAGUCAUAUCCUACCCCUCCACGUUUCAGGUGACCUUGGACAAACCGCUUAACUUCUUUGAGCUUCAGUGUCUGCACCACAAAAUGGGAAUGACAGGGCUGGACUGUCUUCAGAGGGUGUACUUGCAGAGUCCAACCUGCUAUUUUAUAAUGUGGAGGCUGAGAAGAUACAGUGGUUCUUCUGUGGCAUCAGGAAACUCUCUUACACUGCUGAACAAGGACUUCAAGUUAACAGCAUAUCCACACAACCUAUACAGCCUAGAGUGGAAAUAUACGUGUGUGUGUGUGUGUGUGUGUGUGUGUGUGUGUGUGUGUAUUUUCCUCAGUUGAUUUGUAUUAUACAUACACACCACCUCCGUAGUCCGCAUACCCCUGUCCUUUCCUGAUUUUGUUGGGAUUAUCUGCCCAUCCACUUGUCCUUCUCCUAAAUACUGAGCCACCAUGUCUGGGUCUUUUUUCUCUGCACCUCUGGUGCUAUGGCCACCAUUGACCAGGUUGGCACUGAGUAAACAUGAAUUAAGCUGAGUUGCCAGCCAGAAGUGUAAUUACACACAAACAAGGGGGCGGGUGGUUAAAGGCUGAUUUUUUUAAGCAAAUACACCAGAAUGCAGGCAUCCAGAAUCAACAUGUCUAGUUCUAACUAGCCAAAAGAAAAUGGGUGCAUGGGAGGGACCUUUGGGGGAAAGUCUUUUCAGUGUUCAGAACUUUGUUUGAAUAGUCUAGGGGGGUGCGCUUUCCUGGAAUAGGGGAGGAAUUGCAGGAGAAUGCUUUCAACCUCAAGGAACUGAAUAAGUGGGUAAACAAGGACUGUUACCAUAGAAGGAGAAGACGCCUGGAGGUAAAUUGUUUUGCAGUUACAUCAAGGAUACUGGAGUCUUCCUCUUCUUCUUAGCUUCUUUAGUUUUUUUGUUUUGUUUUGUUUUUAAAUCAUUUAGGUUAUUACCUCAUGGGCACAGACAGCUGCCAAGGUUCUAGAUAUCACACUCUCAUGCUAUCGGUUUAAAGAGAAGAGCUGGGGGAAGUACUUCCCAGCAGGGACUGAUCAGAGUCUGGCUACCCAGCUGCCCAGCUAAGUAAGUGGGCAUCCAGCUUACCCUGGCUGUACAGACAGGAUGGG